GGCCUGCCAGACGGAGGCUCCUCCUGAGACGCAAGCCCAGCACUGUCACCUCAGACCCAGCCCAGACCCUCACCCACCACCCAUAGGAGUGGCCCAUGCGUCCCUGCUAGUCUCAACCCAACACAGAGAACUAAGAGGCCACAGUGGUGCCGCCCUGUGCCCUGAACACCACUGUCCCCUUCACUGUCUGUGUGUGAGGAAGACCACGCCGCGCCACCCUUCAACUCACUGGAAACCAGGGUGAGCUUGAGCCCUGUGGCCUGCUGCAGGGCCACGUGCAUGGUGGCCACCUCUUUGACGGGUCCAUCCUGGGGUCCUCUCCUUUCUGUGAAAGGAAUCAUGUGCGUGCCCCAGGCAUGUGUAAUAAAGAACCCGAUUGGA